GACGAACGCUGGCGGCGUGCUUAACACAUGCAAGUCGAACGGAAAGGCCCUGCUUUUGUGGGGUGCUCGAGUGGCGAACGGGUGAGUAACACGUGAGUAACCUGCCCUUGACUUUGGGAUAACUUCAGGAAACUGGGGCUAAUACCGGAUAGGAGCUCCUGCUGCAUGGUGGGGGUUGGAAAGUUUCGGCGGUUGGGGAUGGACUCGCGGCUUAUCAGCUUGUUGGUGGGGUAGUGGCUUACCAAGGCUUUGACGGGUAGCCGGCCUGAGAGGGUGACCGGCCACAUUGGGACUGAGUUACGGCCCAGACUCCUACGGGGGGCAGCAGGGGGGAAUAUUGCACAAGGGGCGGAAGCCUGAGGCAGCAACCCCGCGGGCGGGAUGGGGGCCUUCGGGUUGUAAACCCUUUUCGCCUGGGACGAAGGGGGGGUGACGGUAAUGGGUAAAGAAGAACCGGCUAACCACGU
rnacentral:rRNA from 1 species